rnacentral:rRNA from 1 species
GGGGCCCUACGGGGCGCAGCAGUGGGGGAUAUUGCACAAUGGGGGGAACCCUGAUGCAGCGACGCCGCGUGGGUGAAGGAGCGUUUCGGCGCGUAAAGCCCUAUCGGCAGGGAAGAAGGAGGACGGUACCUGACUAAGAAGCCCCGGCUAACUACGUGCCAGCAGCCGCGGUAAUACGUAGGGGGGCAAGCGUUAUCCGGAUUUACGGGGUGUAAAGGGAGCGUAGACGGCUGUGCAAGUCUGGAGUGAAAGGCGGGGG